rnacentral:lncRNA from 1 species
GGUGUGGUGCACUGUCUACUGUGCCACCUAGCUGCCCCAUGAAGAAACUGUGCUCAGUGACUUGGACAAGGUUACCCAGGCACAAGUCAAGACAUCCUCCUGUGAUCUCAUUGGUCCUCUUCAAAAAUGAAGGACAAAUAACACCUCCCAUGAUGUGAUGAAAAAAUUGAUGUGGUUGAUGUUCAGAUAUUGACAGGAUGCUUUGAGAAUAUCGGCAGGAGCUCUCCAUCCGGCCAGGCAACAUAGGCACAGUGGACCAGGGUCUUUCCCUUCUUUUGAGUCUGUCCAGAAUUAAGCAAAAGUAACCUGAAAUCACCUCAGGGUAUUUAACAUAUUAAAGCAAACCAUUUGAAUUAUGGUUUUCAUACCCUUUCUCCCCCAAGUGGAGAAACAAGGUGAAGUAUGGGUAAAGUGACAUCAGUUCCUUGGUAACAGUGGGGCAACAAGAUCCCAAACAAAUCAUUCUUUCCUUAGUAAGUAAACAAGAUAAAAAAAAAGAUUCCUGAAAACCUCUCAGAGAUUUUCCAUCAUCCAGCCUUUCCAUCACAACAGCUACUCCAUCACCAAGGCUGUUCCUCCCUCAAUAAAGCUUAUUCCUUCACCA